rnacentral:rRNA from 1 species
CCUACGGGUGGCAGCAGUGAGGAAUAUUGGUCAAUGGGCGCGAGCCUGAACCAGCCAAGUAGCGUGAAGGAUGACUGCCCUACGGGUUGUAAACUUCUUUUAUAAAGGAAUAAAGUGAGGCACGUGUGCCUUUUUGUAUGUACGUUAUGAAUAAGGAUCGGCUAACGCCGUGCCAGCAGCCGCGGUAAUACGGAGGAUCCGAGCGUUAGCCGGAUUUAGUGGGUUUACAGGGAGCGUAGAUGGGUUGUUACGUCAGUGGUGAACGUUUGCGGCUCAACCGUAAAAUUGCAAUUGAUACGGGCAGCCUUUCGUACAGUUGCGGUAGGCGGAAUUCGUGGUGUAGCGGUG